rnacentral:rRNA from 1 species
GGGCGUUAAGUUGCAGGGUAUAGACCCGAAACCCGGUGAUCUAGCCAUGGGCAGGUUGAAGGUUGGGUAACACUAACUGGAGGACCGAACCGACUAAUGUUGAAAAAUUAGCGGAUGACCUGUGGCUGGGGGUGAAAGGCCAAUCAAACCGGGAGAUAGCUGGUUCUCCCCGAAAGCUAUUUAGGUAGCGCCUCGUGAAUUCAUCUCCGGGGGUAGAGCACUGUUUCGGCUAGGGGGCCAUCCCGGCUUACCAACCCGAUGCAAACUGCGAAUACCGGAGAAUGUUAUCACGGGAGACACACGGCGGGUGCUAACGUCCGUCGUGAAGAGGGAAACAACCCAGACCGCCAGCUAAGGUCCCAAAGUCAUGGUUAAGUGGGAAACGAUGUGGGAAGGCCCAGACAGCCAGGAUGUUGGCUUAGAAGCAGCCAUCAUUUAAAGAAAGCGUAAUAGCUCACUGGUCGAGUCGGCCUGCGCGGAAGAUGUAACGGGGCUAAACCAUGCACCGAAGCUGCGGCAGCGACGCUUAUGCGUUGUUGGGUAGGGGAGCGUUCUGUAAGCCUGUGAAGGUGGCCUGUGAGGGUUGCUGGAGGUAUCAGAAGUGCGAAUGCUGACAUAAGUAACGAUAAAGCGGGUGAAAAGCCCGCUCGCCGGAAGACCAAGGGUUCCUGUCCAACGUUAAUCGGGGCAGGGUGAGUCGACCCCUAAGGCGAGGCCGAAAGGCGUAGUCGAUGGGAAACAGGUUAAUAUUCCUGUACUUGGUGUUACUGCGAAGGGGGGACGGAGAAGGCUAUGUUGGCCGGGCGACGGUUGUCCCGGUUUAAGCGUGUAGGUGUGUGUUCCAGGUAAAUCCGGUUCACUUUAACACUGAGGCGUGAUGACGAGGCACUACGGUGCUGAAGCAACAAAUGCCCUGCUUCCAGGAAAAGCCUCUAAGCAUCAGGUAACAUCAAAUCGUACCCCAAACCGACACAGGUGGUCAGGUAGAGAAUACCAAGGCGCUUGAGAGAACUCGGGUGAAGGAACUAGGCAAAAUGGUGCCGUAACUUCGGGAGAAGGCACGCUGACACGUAGGUGAAGUGAUUUACUCACGGAGCUGAAGUCAGUCGAAGAUACCAGCUGGCUGCAACUGUUUAUUAAAAACACAGCACUGUGCAAACACGAAAGUGGACGUAUACGGUGUGACGCCUGCCCGGUGCCGGAAGGUUAAUUGAUGGGGUCAGCGCAAGCGAAGCUCCUGAUCGAAGCCCCGGUAAACGGCGGCCGUAACUAUAACGGUCCUAAGGUAGCGAAAUUCCUUGUCGGGUAAGUUCCGACCUGCACGAAUGGCGUAAUGAUGGCCAGGCUGUCUCCACCCGAGACUCAGUGAAAUUGAACUCGCUGUGAAGAUGCAGUGUACCCGCGGCAAGACGGAAAGACCCCGUGAACCUUUACUAUAGCUUGACACUGAACAUUGAGCCUUGAUGUGUAGGAUAGGUGGGAGGCUUUGAAGUGUGGACGCCAGUCUGCAUGGAGCCGACCUUGAAAUACCACCCUUUAAUGUUUGAUGUUCUAACGUGGACCCGUGAUCCGGGUUGCGGACAGUGUCUGGUGGGUAGUUUGACUGGGGCGGUCUCCUCCUAAAGAGUAACGGAGGAGCACGAAGGUUGGCUAAUCCUGGUCGGACAUCAGGAGGUUAGUGCAAUGGCAUAAGCCAGCUUGACUGCGAGCGUGACGGCGCGAGCAGGUGCGAAAGCAGGUCAUAGUGAUCCGGUGGUUCUGAAUGGAAGGGCCAUCGCUCAACGGAUAAAAGGUACUCCGGGGAUAACAGGCUGAUACCGCCCAAGAGUUCAUAUCGACGGCGGUGUUUGGCACCUCGAUGUCGGCUCAUCACAUCCUGGGGCUGAAGUAGGUCCCAAGGGUAUGGCUGUUCGCCAUUUAAAGUGGUACGCGAGCUGGGUUUAGAACGUCGUGAGACAGUUCGGUCCCUAUCUGCCGUGGGCGCUGGAGAACUGAGGGGGGCUGCUCCUAGUACGAGAGGACCGGAGUGGACGCAUCACUGGUGUUCGGGUUGUCAUGCCAAUGGCACUGCCCGGUAGCUAAAUGCGGAAGAGAUAAGUGCUGAAAGCAUCUAAGCACGAAACUUGCCCCGAGAUGAGUUCUCCCUGAGACUU